GAGUCCUGGCUCAGGACGAACGCUGGCGGCGUGCUUAACACAUGCAAGUCGAACGGAGCACCCUUGACUGAGGUUUCGGCCAAAUGAUAGGAAUGCUUAGUGGCGGACUGGUGAGUAACGCGUGAGGAACCUGCCUUCCAGAGGGGGACAACAGUUGGAAACGACUGCUAAUACCGCAUGAUAUAUUUGAGGGGCAUCCCUUGGAUAUCAAAGAUUUAUCGCUGGAAGAUGGCCUCGCGUCUGAUUAGCUAGUAGGCGGGGUAACGGCCCACCUAGGCGACGAUCAGUAGCCGGACUGAGAGGUUGACCGGCCACAUUGGGACUGAGAUACGGCCCAGACUCCUACGGGAGGCAGCAGUGGGGAAUAUUGGGCAAUGGGCGCAAGCCUGACCCAGCAACGCCGCGUGAAGGAAGAAGGCUUUCGGGUUGUAAACUUCUUUUGUCAGGGAACAGUAGAAGAGGGUACCUGACGAAUAAGCCACGGCUAACUACGUGCCAGCAGCCGCGGUAA
rnacentral:rRNA from 1 species